AGAGGAGGUUAAAAGAGAGGAGAGUGAAAUUGCUUUACCAAUGGGGAAUUAAAGGAAUCAGAAGGGCUUUUAAAAACGACUCGAGAAAAAUAAAAAGGAUGCAAAAUGUUGUAAGGCUGUGAAAUUAAUGGCGGCCGAGAGUCUUGGUUCAUUCUUUAAAUCUGCUUAACAGGAAAAGAUGAGGGAGAGCCAUUGGUAUGCUGGGGAGUUACGGGGUCCUUGAAAACUCAGAUGCAGAGAUCACGGGCAGAGCUGAAUCAUGAGGCAGCCAGCGUGUCCUAGGAUGGGCAGAAACCAGGCCCCACUGUGGCCACAAUCUGCCUACAUCAGAAUGCCUGCUCCUUCUCUUCAGGAUGUUUGGCCUCCUGAAUAUUUCACUCUUUCAUGGGAUACUUCACGUCAUGUCCAGAGUCAGCAAAGCCCAAAGAUGCCCUUGUGACAAGCCGUGCUGGCAUUAGAAGGCUCUUGUGUGAGCACUGUUGCUUCCUGGUGUGGUGACCUUGGGUUGACUUUGUCACCUCACAGAGAGCUCUCUGCAGUGAAGAUGAAAUAGGUCGUAUGGACAAGUGGCCAUCAGCAGUGCGCCGUGCAGGUCAGUGACUCUAGCUGCCUUGCUUCUUCUUGCUCACGCCUUUGCUGUAAAGGACAUCUUGCAUGAAGUCUGUCCUUGGAAUACCCCUGCC
rnacentral:lncRNA from 1 species